UCUCCGUUGGUGAACCAGCGGAGGGAUCAUUGCUGGAAGCGUCGUCCGACGCGCCCAGAUGCCCUAUGUCAACGCAUACACCCUUUGUUGCCUCGGUGUGGCCGGGUGCCCCCCCUCCAGGGGCACCCCUCCCUCGGGAGAGCCCGCCCGCCGAUGGCCCGUCCAACCUCUGUUUGUUGCCAACCUAUCUCUUCUGAGCACCAGUCAAAAUGAAUCAAAACUUUCAACAACGGAUCUCUUGGUUCUGGCAUCGAUGAAGAACGCAGC
rnacentral:misc_RNA from 1 species